CAAGGUUUCUGGAAUGAGCCCUGGCCGAAAUCUAUAUGGCCUUUGGAUUGGACUGCGGCCGAUCAGGCUGUUGGUGAGGUAAUGGCCCACCAAACCUGUAACCGGUACGGGCUUUGAGAGAAGGAGCCCGGAGAUGGGCACUGAGACAAGGGCCCAGGCCCUAUGGGGCGCAGCAGGCGCGAAACCUCUGCAAUAGGCGAAAGCCUGACAGGGUUACUCUGAGUGAUGCCCGCUAAGGGUAUCUUUUGGCACCUCUAAAAAUGGUGCAGAAUAAGGGGUGGGCAAGUCUGGUGUCAGCCGCCGCGGUAAUACCAGCACCCCGAGUUGUCGGGACGAUUAUUGGGCCUAAAGCAUCCGUAGCCUGUUCUGCAAGUCCUCCGUUAAAUCCACCUGCUUAACGGAUGGGCUGCGGAGGAUACCGCAGAGCUAGGAGGCGGGAGAGGCAAACGGUACUCAGUGGGUAGGGGUAAAAUCCAUUGAUCUACUGAAGACCACCAGUGGCGAAGGCGGUUUGCCAGAACGCGCUCGACGGUGAGGGAUGAAAGCUGGGGGAGCAAACCGGAUUAGAUACCCGGGUAGUCCCAGCUGUAAACGAUGCAGACUCGGUGAUGGGUUGGCCUCGAGCCAACCCAGUGCCGCAGGGAAGCCGUUAAGUCUGCCGCCUGGGGAGUACGGUCGCAAGACUGAAACUUAA
rnacentral:rRNA from 1 species